rnacentral:rRNA from 1 species
GGCGGUAGGCUUAACACAUGCAAGUCGAACGGUAACAUAGCUAGCUUGCUAGCUGAUGACGAGUGGCGGACGGGUGAGUAACGCGUAGGAAUCUACCUAUUAGUGGGGGACAACCUGGUGAAAACCAGGCUAAUACCGCAUACGCCCUACGGGGGAAAGCAGGGGAUCUUCGGACCUUGCGCUAUUAGAUGAGCCUGCGUUAGAUUAGCUUGUUGGUGAGGUAAUGGCUCACCAAGGCGACGAUCUAUAGCUGGUCUGAGAGGAUGAUCAGCCACACUGGGACUGAGACACGGCCCAGACUCCUACGGGAGGCAGCAGUGGGGAAUAUUGCGCAAUGGGCGAAAGCCUGACGCAGCCAUACCGCGUGUGUGAAGAAGGGUUUAGGCUCGUAAAGCACUUUAAGUAGGGAGGAAGGCCUGUAAAUUAAUACUUUGCAGGAUUGACGUUACCUACAGAAUAAGCACCGGCUAACUCCGUGCCAGCAGCCGCGGUAAUACGGAGGGUGCAAGCGUUAAUCGGAAUUACUGGGCGUAAAGCGCGCGUAGGCGGUUUGUUAAGCGAGAUGUGAAAGCCCAGGGCUCAACCUUGGAAUUGCAUUUCGAACUGGCAGGCUAGAGUACAAGAGAGGGUGGUAGAAUUUCCUGUGUAGCGGUGAAAUGCGUAGAUAUAGG